rnacentral:tRNA from 1 species
AGAUAAAAUACGGUAAAAUUAAGUAAAUAGAAAGAGUUCAAAAAACAUAUUUUUGGGAUUCCUAAUCCAGGUGUCGCAUGUUCAAAUCAUGCCGGGGGCACCA